rnacentral:sRNA from 1 species
GCGCAAGUGUAUUAUGUCAAUAAAAUGCAAAUUACUACGUCUAAAAAUUUUACAACGUAUUUUCCUAAUGACCAUAGCAGAGGGUGCUUCUCAUUGCAACCGUAGUUGAUAAAUUGGCUAAAAUGGGUUGGGACAGACAUGUAACUCUAGGAAGGCUUUAAAAACAACUCCUCCAUUUGGACUUAGAAAUUAAGAUCUUAUUAUCUCAUCACAAUUGGGAUUGUCCCGUCGACAACGACCAUCGGAGUGAGUCCAGGCUGGAAAGAAAAUAAUAUUAAACAGUUUUUUUUUAAGUUAAAAUAAAUAAUUCUAAUGAAAAACUUA